UGUAGAACAAGGUCUACAUCAGAAUUUGAUUCUUCGGCUUCCAUGCUCCAUGGUGUUCAACCCUGGGAAAGCACUGUGCAUUAAUAGUCAUGAGGCCACAAAUCACCAAUAAGAGAAGCUAACCAAGAAAUCUCUGGAGAUGGAAAUGUCAUUGAUUCUGGGCCUUGUUUCUGUAGCUGUUACAAGUCAGACUACUCGAUAUGAUGAAGGCGGUGGGAGAGAAGCAACUUGCAUCACAUGGAGCAACCUCAAUGUUAAAAGUAGGAGAACCCUGGAGAGGAUUUGUAUCGCAAGGUGACCUUGAGGAACAGCAAGCAUUGUGGAGGAAAAAAAAAAGGUUUCCAGAUUAGCUCACUUGACCUGCGAAGGUUGGGAGGAAAAGCAGUUGCUGGCGUCUGAACGCAGCCUCCCGCGAGCCCAGAGGAGGGGCAGCAGAGCUCCUGGAUUUCCUGUUGCUGCUGCUGGUGCCUGAGAUGGGGCAAAGACAUGAGCCGAGUUGUCCCCCGCUGCCUCCCAGCAUCGCUUGUCCCUGCAAAGCCGGAGCUGCGUGAGCAUCAGGAGACAACAUGAACACAGUCCCUGCUACCUCGAAUUCCGCAGUCCGGUUUCCCAUGUGUUGGUAAAUCAGCGGGAUCAGCACACACAAGGUGGAAGAAGUGGAUAGGAAAACCCAACUGUGUGUUUCCCUUUGCCAGGAGCGGACUUUGGAAACGGCGCUGUGCCAGUCCUCCCGAGGGACUUCAGCUACGUGCUACAGGAGAAACAGGAUCAUUUGGACGGGUGAACCCCAGCACGGCGCCAACGCCACCUGCAUUGCAAGCAGUAAUGUAAGCAAGAGAAAAAAGCUUGGGCUGGGGUAUUGCUGAAGCAGUAGGCAAAUGUGAAGCUGUGAUGUCUGAGGUCUGGGUGAGCCUGCUCCUGGACCCGCUCACACUCUGGCCCCACAGACGCCUUUGCAGUCACAGCUUUGCCUCUGUCCUGUCUCUCUCCCUCUCUCCCACAGCAGAGCUGCUUGGCUUUUCCAUUUUUUUGUUCCCUGACUGGUUUCCUAAUAUGCGUGGGCUGGAGAUGCGGUCAGCCCGUGUGCCAGCAAACUGGCCAUCACUCGCCCAGACAGGCACCCGCAGGACAGAUGGGAAAGAGCCGAAAGUCAGUGUCAUUACUGAAAACGUAGCUCUUUGGCCACAGUUAUUUAUAGGAACUUGGUACGUGUGCCUGUGUGUUUCUCCACGACGACAGGCAUCGCUCCCAACCACUACCGACUCUGGAUGCCGUGGUGCAAUAACCCCGGUUUUCUUGGUUACAAAUUGUAUUUUUGGGCUGUCUAGAAAUACAUGACUCAACUGUCUUACCUGCGCAAUGCCACCGGGUUUCUGGAGAGAGCACUUUGCCUGCUGGGGCAAAGCACCCGGUUCCUUCUCCCUGCGGGCACCUGCUCCCCCCAGGCCGAGGGAAAACCAGGGCAGGAACCUGCUCAUCUCCUCGCGGAGCAGCGUGAGGCCAGGCUCCCUCCCCUCGAAAACCCACCCCCUGCUCUACUUCCACAUGCUCUGAAAUGCUUCUUAGGUUGCUCAGAACGUACUUGUGAUUAGAUGUCUGUUUGGAGAAGUCAGCUGUCUUCACAUUUGGGUUGGAGCUCAGCAAAGUUCAGUAACAGAAAGCAUUUUAAAACCAUGUUUCGCAGAAGACGUGAUCGGAGCUCCACUCAGAGCAACCCCUGCCAGCACUUGCAAGGUGGGAUUUUGUCAGCGUUGAACCUCUAGCUACUCAUUAAUCAUUUCACUCAGUUCAGAUGGAGGACACAAAGCAAGGGGGAGGUGGGAUGUUUCCAAAACAAAUCUAUUUUUUGGUUACACACAAAUGUCUUAGUGUCCGCUUUGCUGACAAGGUGGAGCCCCACCCCAGCGAUUCGUGCUCAGCCUUUGGGAACAGAGUGAGACCGCUCUGAGGAAAAUGAUUUAAAAUGCCUUCAGAUGCCUUUUCACUUCUUUUUAUUUAAUUCCAUAAAUAUUUUCAUAAGGCUCAGUGUCUUUACAACACUUUUUUAAACACUUUUUUUGUUUUAUACACACAACUUUGACACUUGUUUGACAGGGUCAAACAGUCCAAUAUAAACAAAAUAAUAAAACUGGCAAGUGCGGAUCAGCUGGGUUACCAAAAUCCUUUUUUUUUCUUUUUUUUUUUUUUUUUUGCUCUUACUGUUAAAACCCCAAAAGCACUAAAAUAUCAGUAUUUGGCUUCAAACUAGAAUUUUAAAAACCUUUUUUUUUUUUUAAAUUCUCUGCUACAAGUCCCUGUCGUCAUAGUGCCUUUAAACUCCUACAGACUCUUCUUUUCUUCGUAAGGAAAAAUAAGCUCGGUGAUGCCAUGCAGAACUUACAAUAGCUACUAAAUAUACAUGUUCCCUGAAAUGUAGCUGCAAUGAAAAGAUGACAGAGCAUAAAGAGAACAAAACCAGAAACCCAAAGCACCACAGUGUACUAUCAAUAACAUUGCAGUGGACGGCCAGUGACCAUCCAGAAACUGAAACAAAUUUCAAAUAUAUUUCUCUAUGUAUUAUUUUCUAUUUACAACUGUUAGAUGCACCUAGGUUGGUUCUUGUUUGAUCUUUUUGGAGAGGGUGGGGAGGCGAAAGUCUUGAAUUUAGAUCCUCUGUUCUAGUGUCUAGGUCAAGGGGUAAUGCAUGUCAUUUACCUAGGGAAGAGGGUGUUUUUAUUUUGUAUAUAUAUAGAGAGAGAUUCAGCCAGAGAAAUGCCGUAAACAUGUAAGUUUGUUACAACUCUCUUGUUUCUGCAUAUGGAAUGGUAAGUGGGUUCCUCCUGUCUGGCAUUGAAAUGAAAGUCUCUAUCAGAUGCUCGGAAGUCAGCCCAACCUGAUUGCAUCUGCGCUGCUUCCAGCGCUUUCGGACACGAGGCAGCCCAACCCUGCUCCCUAUUGGGAAAGCCACGGUAGGUGGUAAAAGUGGGACCCAGUGCUGGUUCUUCUUUGUGAUAAUGCUCCAUCUCUUGCAGCACCUCCACAAUGUAUGGAGGGGAAGGGCUUUCUUGAAUGCCAUGCCUGAGAGCCAAGCCCCUCUUCCCUCUGGAACAAGCGCCUGCAUCUGCUUUGCCUGCCGCCUGGCUCUGGCAAGCACGAGCAAUGCUAGUUUGUUUUGGCUUUCCAGUUAAGAAAGAAGCUGCGAGUCCAACAAGUGGCCUUGUCAGAUCAAGCGAGUCUUGAUUUAUGAUGCAAAUAAUGGUGUGGCGGUGGUGUUUCUUUUUUCCUAGUGCUGAAUAUUUAGGAAGCAUCUUCUCAUAAAAAUUAUGGAUGUCUCAUUCUCACUCUCUGAGGCACAAAACAGUAAAUGAACAGGCUUAACUAAUGUGCUUGUUACUUUUUUUCCCUUAAGCAAUUAAAAAGGCAAAGGAAUAAGUGAAAUUUUCAUCAUGUUGAUAACAGUUUGUAAUCUCUUUCUCUCUCUCUCUCUCUACAUCUCUCCAGCCAUUCAGAAACAGUAAAACAUUUCAGUUAACUUCUGAGAACCCAUCUCAUUCACUUCUUUAAAUACCCAUUCUGUUAAAGAAACAAAAUAAUAUUUACUACAUAUUCACUAUUCAAAUCUGACCAUAAAAAUGCAAAGAUACAAAAGAGAGUAAAAAUAAUUUGAUAUAAAAUGGGGUUGCUUCCUAUUUGGGACUCCCAGUGUUUCACUGCUGCCUGUCACAGAGGGGCCAUUCUUCCUCUCCAAAACACUAAUCUGGCUUUGCUGUUUAUUGGUAGCUGCUAGAUUACUAAAAAGUGCUGAGAUUAUUUUUGUACUUAAAUAAAAAAUAUAGCCACUGCCUUGUAAUAUGCCCUGAAAUAAAACAGGCUCCAUGGCAAUACUGAAAUCACCCUCUCCGCUCUUCCCAUUUGCUUGUAUUUCUUAGGGGAGAAAAAAAAAUGUAUCUCCAUGCUAGUUGGCCUGGGGUGCUUAUGUGGUAUAUCAGAUUCGAAAGAAAAUGAUAAAUACUGUGAUCAAUCACUUCAUCCCACAUUUUCAAAGGAGCUUGCAGAACUGCUCUGCAAAGUUUUUAAGUUCAUCUUCUAAAUCUGGUUAAACAGUCUCAUUUGCCCUAGGGGAAAAAAAAAAUCAUCCUAGUGCACAAUGAUUUGUUUUACAAGCUUGAACGUAAGCUUUUGCGCUUGCAAACAAAUGUACUUAGGGCUGAAACUGUAGGAAGUGUCUGUGAAAACAGAGCUAUCAAUCUCCAGAGGGAGAAAAAGAGAGAGAAAGAGACCUGGAGAGUUCAGCUAAUCACUCCAGAGCCCGCUGACACUGAUACACCUCUGCUGAACCACUGAAGCCGUUCAGUUUAAACUGAUCACUGACUUAGAUUAGGUCACAUAAUCAUGGUCAUGCGGCUAAACUUCUUGGGUCACAUCCAUCUCUUUCCUGAAAGGCAGUUCCCAACUCCUCUGCAGCUCGGGUGCGUUAAAUCUCAGGUAACUACUUCCCAUCGCUUAGGCAAUGAUCCUUCCGCUAACAGGUCGCUACUGGCAGCUCCUGUUUUGCCUGGGAGGCCAGUGCCCAAGGGACGCCAGGGAUCUUAUAUGCAACAGAGUAGAGCAGGCAGUGAGUGCAGUCAUGGUCCUCAUUUUUGGGAUCAUUGCUCCUGUAAAUGGCAAUUAGUGGUUCAUUAACGCAGUACUGUGCAGGCGUGAGUGUGGCCAACAGGAUGGGACCUUAGUUCCCGAAGAAAGAAAACUGGCCAUUUGUUGGAGCCCAACAGCCAAUUUUCCUCUAGCUGGAAUGGCGGGCAUGAAGCCGUCAGUUUUUAAGCUUUUAUCUUUGCAUGGAAAACAAAGAUAGGAGUGGGCUUUUCAGAGUCAUGUCUCAGCUCAAAAAGAAAAUCAAAGGUAAGCCCCCAGAAAUAAAACUAAAUGCAAAAGAAAUAAAAGCCCCUGAUAGUCUUUUCUCAGUCUUAUUCCAAGCGUGAACAAAUCACACUGAACUGAGAAAAAGACCGUGCUUAACAAAAAUGCAAAAAGUUAACUGAGGAAAACCCAUCUCUCACUUCCUAAAUAGCUGAUAGCCCUUCUGCUUGUUUUCACCUGCCCAUAGCAAAACAGUUAAAGCCAGAGAAAUACUGCGCAGCAGAGCGUGGUGCACAAGGGAGCACAUCCAGACAGGCACAAGUCAGACCAGAGAAUGCAGGACGGGGACGGGGAAGGGGUCGAUGCUCUUCAUUGAAAUGACAACUCCAGGGACAGCCAAGGAAGGGACGGAGAGGGAGGGAGAGGGAGCAGAGAUCUCCCGGCACUCCAAAAAACAAACAACCCCCCCAUAAAUAAAAUCAAAUAAAAUAUACACCAAUGUAGUCCAUGAGGAACUUCGAUGACGAAUUCACACAAGCGAGAAAGCAUUCUGGGAUGCCAAUGACGACUUGAAUGAAAAUGAAGAAAAAAAAAAAAAAAAAAAAGAUGUCCAACCAAUGGAAUAAAAUAAAAUAGGUCACAUGGUUAGAAAUCAUUGGUGCUUCCUAGUAUCUAGUAGCAGAUUGCUUCCCAAAAACAACAAAAAAAGUUUUUGGUCCUUCUAUAUAUAUACAUAUAUGUAUAUAUAUUAUUAUUUUUAAAAUAUGUGUGUAUAUAUAUAUAUGUAUAUAUAUUUAGUUGCAACAGUGCUUCUCCGAAAAAAGGUCCAUCUAUAAAUAUAAUUUUAUUUAUUUUUAUUUUUAAAUUUUAGUUCUUUUAAGUUAAAAUUCUCCAUCUCUCUAGGUAUUAUUUUUUGAAUGGUGUUAACCUGCUGAAGUUUUGCCAGAAUGGUGCCUGGCUGCGUCUGGGUUCGGUGAACUCGAAGACCUGGGACUGGGAUAUGCCAUCUGUCACCAUGUAUUGUCCCUGAUUUAAUGGAUCCUGGGGUGGUGGGUAGGCUGGAGGAACCGACUUGGAGUAGCUCACACCUGCAUCGAUGAUUGGGGGGAAAAAGAAACAGAUCAGUCAAAGUGCAAUUGGGUCAAUAGUCUUUCUUCGUCAUGCUAUCGCUUCUUAUCACUUAAUAACCAGGGUCCCAAACAACAGGGAGACGUGCUAGAGACGGCAAAUCUACAGAGGAACGCAGCAACUGCCUAAACUGUCAGCUCGGAGGCUACCUACACUAGACCACCAGUUCAAGAUUUGGAAAGGAUCCAUUACUUUUGUAGUGGCAGAGUUUUGGCUGCCCUCAUGGAAAAGUCCUGUGUGCCCUAACGAGGCACAAACAUGGCCAGGCCAUACGCGGAAUCAAUCUGCUCAGACAAAGGCAGGCGACCGCAUCAUUCAACCUGCUCACAAAUUUAACGCUUGCUGGUUCCAAACUCGUUCUCACCCUCCCUCCCGGCUACGCUUGCAAAGCGGUUUUGCCCCAACAUGCCCCAGUGACCAGCCCCGAGCAGUGCGACCCCGAGGAUCUCUUGGCACCAGUUCCUGCGCCAGAAUGGAGCAAAGCUGCUUUGGAGGAAACGCUAUGCUGCAGGGACCCGUGCUGCUUCAGCGCUACUCUGCCUAUACGGAGAGCAAGUCAUUAUUUUCGUUAGGAAAGUUUGUAGGACUUUUCCAUAGGGUUUGUUUCAAAUUUACCAGUCUGGUUGCAGCCAAAAACGGCUGCACGCAACACAGAAAAGGCUGAUUUGCUCAAUCCAAACUGGUAGCAAUGGAUGGACUGGCAAGGCUACACUUCCAGGUUCUAGGUGCGUAAUUCCCACGUAGGUGAGUCAGAGUUCCUGGGCAGGAACGGCGUGGGGGGAUGCUGCCCUUACAGCUUUCCCACGGAAGGGGGGAGCUUCGGCAAGCUGGGACCUAUACAACCUGUUGUAAAGGACGGCGUAGGAAGAGUGGCUCUGGGUGAAUGGAACAGAAGGGAGGCAUAUCACCACCAAAGUGUAGACUACAGGGAACAGUAAUAUAGCUACUUCUGUAUUCCCUUCCCCGCAACACCACUGAUGAGGGAUAACCCCUCCUUCAGCCUCAGGGUAGAGUGAUCGGCUGGAAACCAGAACUCCAGAGAAAGGCAGGAAGGAGAGAGGAGCAGGGCUCUGAAGCAGGUUGCUGUAAGCUCUGGCCAUCUCUGGAUCCCCUCUGCCGCAUGCAGAACUGCUCUUCCUUCUGCGGGGAGGGCAGCCCCGGCCGCGUGACGGGUGGCAGGCUUCGCAAGGGCCAUCUUGAGGCCAUUGCCUCCCCUGGUUUUAACCGCAGGAGCGAGGUGACUCUACCCAAGUAGAUCAGUAUCCUCAUCUGGAAAGCGGGAUGGCAUCACCCACCUACCUCACACGAGGGUUGUGAAGCUAAAUUAAUUAAUGUUUGUAAAACACUUUGAGAUCCUCGGCUGGGAAGGUGCUAGAGAAGGCAAAAUACGGUGAUUAGCACCCAGGCACCACAGCAACGUGUGUAAAAGAAAUGCGACUCUUUGCAUUCAGUUAGCGGUUCCUACCCACACACAAACACAUGCUUUGCGGGACCAGCACUGGCCGGCCCAGGCACAGGAAGGCUGCACACAGUUGGGUACUUACAGACAAAGGAAAAAAGCCUCACAAAGUGCACUCACGGAGCUCAUCAGACAACUUUUAUAUGUUUCAGGACCUCUUUUAGAUACAAAACUAAGGCUUUAGUAUGGCUUUAGGAAAGAGAAUUAAUUCGCUUCCCCUUGCUAUAGAAUUUACCAGUCAAGGGUUGUUACCAUCUUCAAAAGGUUCAGACCAAAUGGAGAUAUCAUCUUGACUAUGUCUAACUGAUUUCUCCUUCUUUACAGCAAAUACCAUCAAAUUGUGCAGCGCUCUGUCCACCGUAGAGAGUAACCAAGAUCUUUCCUUACGGUGGACAAAAACCGCUCCGUGAUUCAUACUUAUUAACCUUUAACAAAUUCAUCACAGUUAACAUUUCAAACUUAUUUGAAAAGAACAACCUGGAGAUGUGCCACAUUUGUAUCUGCAUGCUGGAAUAGAGUUACUCAUCAACGAGUUUUCUCCUCUGCCCUUCCCAAGCUCCUCUCUCCCACAGAAAGCCUGCAAAGCAGAGUGCAGCCGCAGAGCCCUUGCUGUCCUGGGGUCAAAUCUGGACAGGGUCGGUUCUAGGAUACCUGAGACAACUUCUGUCUCACCCUUGUUGGCAGGCCCCAACCCUCCAUUUGAACUGACAUCACUAUGUGACUUAAGCCAAUGACGUCCCAUAAGGGUAAGAGCAUGGGCUUGAGCUCAUCUCUGCCCUUCCUCUUCCAUCCCUUCUUCUACACUGUCCUGCUCUGAGUUGCCUUGCUGGAAGGCAGGUCAACAUGUGGGCAGUGUAACCAACUGCAGAGUCUGCUCUGGAGGGCAAACGCUAGCCCUGAACCCAUACAAGAGUGCAGACAUUCGCCUGGAGGCCACCAGCCUUUAGUGCCUUGGCCACUUUUCUCAGCAGAGACUGGUGAGGAAUUUUGGGAUCUGUGGGAAGUUUAGGAUCUGGUACAGGUCCCUUGCAUGGCUAGAGUUGGGAAAUGUAUCUUCUGUCUGGUAAGUGGUUUGGAUCUUCGACUGACCCAAAGGACCUGGAAUGACUUCAAAGGCAAAUAGUCCCUAUGCCACCCAGAUUACUAACUAAUAUUCUACAACACAAAAGAGCUGUGAAUCUAAAGCUGCUACUAAGGGGCAUACAGCAAUUGGUUCUAGCUUUGGAAGACCUCAAAACCACAUUGCUUUAAUGACGUGGCCCAAUGUCUUUUGCAUCCUGUGGCUGCAGAGUAGCAGUCAGCCUUGUGAUGCACCCGGUCUGCUGUGCGGAGCUGGGCUGAGCUCUUUAUUGUCUCUAAAUCAAUUUGUGGAGGGUGAACUAGUGUAUUUUAAUUGUGAUACAGAAAUGCUAAGAAAUCUCCUGGAUCAGCAAAAUGUUAUGUACUUGGAAGGCUGAAGAAGUAGAGAAAGGACAGUCUGGCUGAAGUCCACUGACAUUGAUGGAGUUACACUGCAAAGAACGUAAUCCAUAGUCUGUCUUCUCCAAAAGAGAAAAAGGCAGACUCCCCUGGCCAGAUCACUAGCAAACCCCAUUCAGUUCCUUCCCAAAAUAGCCUUUUUGGUCCCAGCUCCUGAAAAAUGUCUGUCCUUGCUUCAAACAUACCCAUGCACACACUGCCGCUUCCCUCAGUAAAGCUCAGACCCACGUUCUCAAAGUUGUUUGUGCGGCCCUGCUCAAGGACCUAGGCUAUUGGCAUUAAUUAAGCUGGAUGAACAUCAAAAGCUCUGGCUGGUUCUACUUGAAUAAGCAGCCGAACGUUUGCAUAUUUAUCCUAUUUAUCAAAUGGCCUCCGUGGCCUGAUCGAUCAAGACUGCGGCUCUCAAUAGCAUGCACAAUUGCCGUGUGUUUGUGGGCGUGCAGACAAAAACAUUUGUGCUCUGGCGAGUCAGGCUGAUAAUUCUGUAAGAAUACAUUUCUUGUGAAACUGUGAUGUAGCACUUUGCAAUAGCUUGAGGUGCCCCAAGAAUGGACUUCUUUUUUUUUUUUGGACACACCCACAUUCUUGACAAGGUGGAACACGGGAACUGGCGGGGGGGAAGGAGAGACAUUUGUCUAAUCUGUACAUCUUCAAAUCCUCAGAAAGAGCAAUUCUGGGAAAAAGUAUGAAAGGUAUUUUUCUAUUCUGCUCUGAAGUGGUUUGUUCCCUCAUCGAAACUCGGGGCUGCUGUGCAAAAUUUUCUCUUGAGGGAUUUUUUUUUUUUUAAUAUGCAAAACCAUAACUCCACUGCAAUUCAACAGAAAGAAAUGAGCAAAGCUUUCUUCCAACGUGAUUUUGGGCUGCGUGGCGAACAGAAUUCAAAGUGCAAAGGGAAAGAAUCGAUAGAUAAGCAACGAUUUCCAGACACAGCUGCUGCGCUGCCCUUCCAAGGUGUGAGAAAGCAGCUAUACACCAAUGACCAGACUUGGAGCUCCUUCUGCUGGUUCAUGCAUAAUUCUGCACUGUAGCAGAAUACAAAGGCUGCAGCUGCAUAGCAAGAUCGUUCAGCAGGGUGGGGGUUGUGGAAAUCUGUUCAGAAUGAGAAAAAGAAAACUCCAGGGUUUAUAAUUUGGCUAGACAAAACUGGUAAGGAGAGAUGCUGCGCUGCCAGUUGAAAUGAUGUCUUUUUUUAGUACUAGGCAACGUCACAUGAAAUCUUUCGGACUUCUCAGCUCAGAAAAAAACAAUUAAAAAGAUUUAAAACUGUCUCUUUUUUCCCUUCUAGUUCUUUUUUUAAAGUGUCUCUUCUAUUUGAGGUUACAACAUGACUUCAGUAGCACUUGAAGAUUUAGGAGCAUGCUGUUGACUCACAGGCAAUCCACACAGACACGUGCAGACAGACCCACUUGUAAUACAGCAGGACAGCUACAGUAACACUGCACCUUUCCAGAGUUAAUACAAAACAUACACAGAACGCCCUCAGAUUCCCCUGUAUAUAACCAUGGAAACUUGCCUUACAAGCUGUUUAUUCCAUCCUCAACCUUUAAGAUUUUAGUUUAUAAGUUGAUCGGGAGCUAGUUCAUAGGUUUUUCUUCUACCUAGCUGUCUAGAUCCCAUACUGUUCAUGAGCCAGAGUUGAGUGGGGGACAAUAAAGUAUCAACACCAGCUUUCUCUACUGGCCGAGUGGAGGCUGCUGGUAGGAAAGGAAGCAGUGCUGCGCCAAGGAACCUUUCAUCUCUCUCCGAUCGCAACAGCAGCUGAGCCAACUUGCAUCUUUCAGGAGCCAUGCUCAAAAAUCCCAUAAAUUCAGUUUCCUCCUGAAUAUUGUAGCCCAUACACAACACGGGGUAGCCAGGAACAUACCUCAAGAACACUAAUUGUUGUGCGGUUAAUUACUCCUGCAACAGCAACAAGUUAAAUAAGCAGUAACGGCUGAAUGGGUACAGCCCUUUGCCCUUCUUCAGCACGUUUCAACAGAGGAUCUCAAAGCACUACUGACUCCAUCUGGGUUACUAAUGCCUGGAGCGAGAAGCCAUCUAUCUACGCUGUCAUCAAUGAGCCUAGUGCUUGCGGACCCAAAGCACGAAGUGCUUGGGCGAGCCGCAGAUGGGCACUGCGUAACGCCUGCGUGGUGGAGGGUUUGGGUAGGGUCUGUAUUUUACAAGUGAUGGGAUAAGCUCUGUGAUUUCUCUGGGGAAAUACCACCGAGAACACGAUCAGCUCCUUUCUUUCACCUACACUGUGGGAAGCUCUGUGAAAAAAGGGAAGUGACCCUGAUUAUCUGAAAAUGCAAAUGCCCCUCUUUCUUUUAAAGCGGUUAGCCUGUGUGUUGCUCAGUCUCUUUCAAUCCCCCCAGGGCUAUGCCUACAUCUGUGAAUAGGAGGGGGAAACAUGUCAGGGCCACGUCAAUCUUGUUAGCAACGAAGAUGCAAUAAAAUAGGCUUAAACACUCGGGAGAACCACAGGAGGCACCUACAGCCUCCGUUACCUGGUAAGACCUGUCCUCGCCAGCUGGAUGAAGCCAGCACACGGACGCUAACGUGCAGACAUCUCGUUUUGCUAUGCAGACUUGCUGGGGAGAGCUUGAAGUGCCGAAGUGUGAGAAGUCAGAGAAAAGCUGCUUGGGGUUUGGGUCAGGGUUUUUAUGACAUAGUUCGCCGUGAGCUCAAGUGAUCAGAAAGGAAGAAAUUAGCAGGAAAAUUCAGUGACUCAGAGGGUGUUUUACUGCAGGCCAAAGCAGUUCCUGCUGGCUGACGAUUUAACCCCUGCUGGGUUUGCAGAGCUGAGUAUUUAUGGGCAGAUUUAACGACAGCAUCCUUCUAAGCUCAGGGCUAAGGGUGACCGUGAUUGAAUAUGUGUCUCCCUCCUUCCGCAAGUCCCAGACCACCGGGCUAAAGGCUUGUCUGGGCUGAGGGCAUCUGCUUUGGUGAAGCUAUGGCACAGUGCAGAGGAGAAUACACAGGACAGAGAAGGGCAUGAAGGAGCCGGCUCAUAGCGUGGGUCUGAAGAGCUCUCCUGGGUGGGAAAUGCUCCCACCUAGCACUAAGGUCACUUUAAAUUUGAACAGACAUUUCAUUUUUCAAAAUGGAAACUUCAGUGGGAAACGGUGCUUUAAGAAUGGGAUCUCCUUCCUGGGUACCGGAACCUUGAAUCCCGACACCCUGGCUGACAGCUCGAGGAUCAGGAGCAAAAAUCCCUUACGGUACACGCUGUCCUGCAUGGGCACAAAGCUGGGGAUCAGGAAAGUAACUGAAUGCUUCUGAAAGCUGCAAACACUAAUCAUUGAGGGGAGAGAUUAAAAGCAGCCAGCAGAACAGAAGCCCUUGAUGGAUAGAAGCACUAAAGGAGCCUUCUGUUUUCAGACACUUAGAAAUGGAAAAAGUACCCUGGAUAAUCCUGUCUCUAUGUUAAGGAUGGACUGGGCAUCCCCAGAGGAUCCAUUUUCAAGGGAACUUUAGACUUGUUUCCACUGCUUUAGUCAGUAACGAGCACAAUCUUGGAAGCGCAACUCAAUGCUAUCUUAACGUCGUAGUGUCAGUGCAGGCAGCAAAGGUCCUCAGCGGUACCUGGACUUAUCUGCGGAAAAGUUGCACAAUCGAUUUGCUGUAGCUUAAAAAGGGCUGUGGGGUUUUUUGUUGUUUUUGUAAGUCAAGACAAAUAAUUUUCUCUGUUACUUUACUAUUUCUAGGAGACACCACGCUGAAUUCUAUUCCUAGUUACCACACUGACAUUGAAAAAAGCUAAUGGGCAGUAACCGAGAGGCAAAAUCUCGAACGAUCAAUGCAAAAAGAAAAAACGACAACAAACAGCCCUUUUCUGUAUCUGUUGGUAAGGUGCAGAGCCAACGCUACCCAUUUACUUUACGUCUAAUGGACUUAAAAAAGGCCAAAAAUUGGUUUAAUGCUGUCUUAAGGCACCUGGUCUAAUAUCAUUAUGUUUUGCCCAAUCCAAUAAGUAGUGCAAAUCCUAGUAUAUUGCUGAAAAUCUGACCUUGUGCAUCAUUAAAUCGAUUUGGAAGGAAGCCUGGCACCGCACACAUUUCUGUGCAGCCGUGAGCGUGAGGAGGGGGUUGAUUCCAGAGGGGGCUGACUUGUGCCCUGCAGAGGACCCUCACUUUGGGAUCAAAAACUUUUCGAAACACUGAGAUUUGUGUUCUCUCUUAAUCACCCGGAUAAAAUUUCCGUUAGUUUAAAAAACAGAGUUUUAAGGUUUCUUCUCCUGCUAUCAGCUGACGUCUCAGCGUCUCUCCCUCGCCCGCUGCAGCGAGCGGUAGAUUAAAUGCUUCCUUUUGAAACGCACGCCAGCCAGCUCCAGAGUAAUACUUCUGGGAGGUGUGGUACAACAGUGCAUGAAAUAAGCGGCAGUUUAUACUAUUUGAAAAAUGUUUUUCUGCUUCACCUCUAACAAAGUUGAUUGCAUUUUCCAUUUCACCUCCUUCAUGGCUUUUCUCUCUUCUCUAAGCAUUCUGUGACAGGGAAAUUACCAUGGUUUCCCAUUCAAGAGGUGGAGGGAACAACUGAGAUAAUCUAGAAACAAAUCUGUAAUAGGCAGCCACUGACAUGGGAGCAGAGCUCUCGACUCGUCAGGUCGGGCUGUUGAGUCAUCGAGCCCUGCUGUGGCCACCGAGACCUGUCCUGCAAAGGCCGUAAAUUUAGAUAAUAGUUCAGUUGGAUGCAGUGGAAGUAUUCCUACUCCUAAAGGGCUUCACUGCUUUCCAGGUAUACCUGAGGCUCCAAAACCAACUUAAAGCCCUUUCCAGUGCUACUGUUGUGCUGUGGGAGGCUGCACGGGGAGGGCAAAGGCAGCGCGUGGUGCCUGCAGGCAGCAACCUCCUGGCAUAGGUGCACCCGUCUACCUGCUUCCAGCCCCAAGAGCUGCACCUCGGCCUCAGCAACACAGCCCCAAGUGCCUGCCAAGGUCUUUGGCAAAAAAAUUGUUGACAAAUAUAUGUAAAAUGCAUAUGGCAAGAUUCAAAAAAUCAGCCAACUCUCAGGAAUUUCCUCCUACCUCCCUCUUCUGAGCAAUGCCACCAGCUCCCUGCUCCAGCAGCCUCGUGUCUCUCUUUGGGUCGUGGGCACAAGACAAACCAUGGACUAAGAAAACUAAGAGUUUUCAGCAAAACGUUCAAUUCCAGUACUUAAUUUAAUUAAUCUGAGACUGAGCUAUGAUUACCACAAUGUAGGACAAAAGAAACAGAGCUACUAAUUUAAUGACCCUAUUUGUUGUUUUUCAGAUUUCAUGUCUUAAGUAGAACAACCAGGCUUCACUUCACUCGAUUCUUGCGGUCUGACUGAAUUUCUGUCUGACUCGAGGACUUCAUCUCAUAAACAGAACUGCCAGUGUUACAGCAUAAGCUCAUUCUUCAUAAAAGAAAUGCUGACCGGUGUUUUAGGAGCUAAUUAGUUUUAUACUCAGAGAAGUCUAAGAUAAUAGCCCCUUCUUUUUCAUCUUAGAGAGAAAGAGAGAGAAAGAGAAAGAGAGAAAACAAGAGAGCAAUUGCUGUGUAAGAAAUAAGUACGGUUAGGCAUGUUGUAUUUGUCAGGAUGCAAGUCCAGUGAUUUAAGUGGGAAUAUUGGUAAGCAUGCUCAGGCACCUUUGAACCGUGUCACUUAAUGACUGAACAGUGCAAUUAUUAAUUAAUUAAUACCUUAAUUAAUAAUAUAACUAAUUGACAGCAAAUAGUCAUUAAAACUGGUUUUGUUGUGGCCAUCAUGCAAGUCAGUUUCUCUAAUUUUCCAGUUGCCGUAAUCUCUGUGGUGGUUUCUGUGCUGCGGGCCAAGCGUGCUAGUGGUGAGGGCUGAAUCUGCAAAACCGAGCUCGUGACAGCGUCCGCUACUGCCUGAACUACGUGUACGUUGUGUAAGUGUACAUGUUCCCUGGGCCCCUUUUUGGGUGUGUGCAUACUUUGAGCUUAGAAAAUCUGGCCAGGAGAGUUUUUAGAGAACAUCUCAGAAGACAACAAAGGAAGUUAGUAGAGAGGAGAAGACUAAUGACAAUGGAGAGACACAGCAAACCAAGGAGUUUACAGUUGGCCUAGCAAACCACUACUGGACCAGCAAAGCCAGUAGACAACAAACAGAAAACAUUACAAGCUAUUUUUAAAAGCUAAGUGAAGGUUUUUAACAGCUUUGUGCUGUCAUUAUCCUUCCAGAGGACAACACAUCGGGUUUGGACGCGUCUGACUGAACCGCUCCAUACGUUUCCCCUCCAAGGCUGCAGCAGGAACAAUCGCUGCUUCCCGCAAGGCUUCUGCAGUGCGUUUCAGAGGCUCCCGGGUUUUGCAGGUGUUGCUGAGUAGUGGAUGUGAAGAUAACGGUGUUGCCUAGGAGUUAUUGAAGGAGCAAUGAGGAGAUAACGGAAUCAUACAAGUGCUUUUGGAAAUCAAAUGGUCCCACAGAAUAUUAUUGCUGGUGAGAAUGCAUUAAUAGGAAAGAACAAGCUCAGCUAUCGAGACUGUUUCCAGAAAACACAUGAAGAAGAAACGCCGUGGUUUUGUCCUUGAGCAAGCACGUACGCGAAUGAGGGAAAGACAAUAAGUGCAAAGCUCCUGCCAGCCACCUUUACUUUCAUUUUGAGAAAAAACUUCAAUAACAAAUCUAGAAGAAAUGAAUCAUCUUUUCUCCCAUCGCUCUCAGCCUCCAGCUUGGCAGGAACUUUCUGGGGGAGAAACAGCCCCUGGAGUGGGGGGGAGGCCCAGAGGAGAGAAAGGUGCUGACGCACCAUUCAAACAGGUACAGAAAAGCUAAACAGCUCAGAGCAAGCUCAUGCCUGACAUUACCCGAGUGCGUUACCCCUGUGCUUCAUACUUCCACAAAAGAAGGACUAUUCCCCACUCGUUGAGUAGAAACUCCAGCAUCGAUACCCCAGGUUUUUAAGAGACCCUUUAUUUUUCAGAGUGGUAGAGCACACAAACAUCUUGGUGAACAGCGUGUGCCUGCACAUGGAAGACACUUUGUACGUACCUGGUUUUGAGAAAGUUCCAUCCAUAUAGCAGAUUAGGAACUGGAACUGGAUAAUAUCACUUUUAAUGGCUUAGGCAUUUCCCACUACCACUUCUCCUUUCUUCCCCUCUUCUUGCCAACAGUCAAUAAAUGGAUAUUAAUUCCUAACUGACUAAAUUUUAACAUCUGUAAUAUGGGAAACAUAAUCAUUAUUUGAUCUGUGGAUAUCUUAUCAUGUAUCAUAGAAUCAUAGAACACCAGGUUGGAAGGGACCUCAAGGAUCUCCUGGUCCAACCUUUCUUGGCAAAAGCUCCAUCUAGACAAGAUGACCCAACACCCCAUCCAACCUAAUCUUGAUACUAUUCCUUACUAUGUUCCUGCAGCUCUUAAAGAAUAACAUAUAUUACUUAACUCCUUAGUGAAGCAUGGGCAAAUGCACUUGGCUUGCACUAUAAUUGAUUUCAAUAAAAUUUAGAAAUUCAUCUGGGCUAUAUGGGAGAUGUACAGCAAACAAGGCCAAAACUCUGGUUUAAGGAGCUUUUUGUGCAUGUGGACAAGAGAAGAAAAAUUCAGGGAACAUGCAGGAAAUGAAAGCAAUGCUGCGUUGUGUGAUUUCUGCAAGAUGCAGACAGAAAGCCCGUAGCAGUGUUGAGAAAUGAAGCCUGUUGUUCUGUACACCAUUUCUGUCAAGCGCAGGGCUAUCUUUCCUUUCCUCGAGCACGUAAGCUGAAUCAAACAAGCGCACACAAGAUAAAGGAAAGCAGAUGUGUGGCUGAGGGUGAAAAUGGAUUGUUUAAACAGACUGGUGUCAGUACUACAUGUCAGAAGGACAAAGCAAAUACUUACACACAAAAUGGAGAUUUAUCAGCUGUAGAAGUAGCCACGCUGUCGAAAGGAGUGCAGGCUUAGGGGAGGGCAGAAACAGCAGCUGGGACAGGCUGCUGCUUUUACUCCUGAUUAUCCCAGGGACACCAUACGAGAGAAUUAUUAAGCCACAGAGUUUAGUUUAAUUUAUAUGCUGGCUAUAUUAGUAUAGUAUUAUAUAUUGUCCUGGCCAUAAUUAAACCAGGAUGAUGACUAGCUGGUUUAUGCUAUCCAGUUGUGGAUGUCAUACAAAUUUUUUUUUUUUUUUUAAUUAAAUCAGGUAAGAGCAAGCAAAUGUAAAAAGACAAAAAAGGCUCUCAAAACCUGAUCAGUGGGGAAAGGCCAAAGAAAUGGAGCUGUUUAAUCUAGAAAAGACAUAAAUAAAAGGGAAUGUGCUAUUGGAAUACCAAUGUGAAAGCUGCUUCUCUUCUAAGGAGGCUGGUGAUCACUUAUUCUCCAUUUUGAUUAUGGCUUGGCUUGAUUUACCACAAGAGCGAAUAGGAUUAGAUACUUGGAAAAAAAUCUUUCUAGCUAUAAGAGUAGUUAAGCAGUAGAACAGUCAAAAUAGGGAAGCCUUGGGACAGCAUUCCUUGGAGAUUUUCAAAAAUAAGGUUAGACAAACAUCCAUCAGAGAUGGUCUGAGUAUACUUAAUCCUGCAAAGGGAAUAGCUAAUCUCCUGGGGCCCUUCCCAGCUCUGCAUUUUGAUGAUAUCUAAGAGAAAGGCGAUGGAGGAGAAAACAGGAUGAGAGCAGGUAGGAUCAGUAUGGACUUCAGGAGCGGUAUGGGAAAAGCCCCAAGGCGCAGACCGGGAUAGCAAGCCCGAGGAGCAGUGACAGAAACCUGCAGUCUCUGCAGACAGCACCCAGAUUGCAUUGCAUGGCUCUUAAGGAAAAGGAUGCAUCUAGGUCAUUUGCACUUAUUUGUCUAAAUAUGAUCUUUUUUUACCCUACAGCUUCUGCCAUUUCCUUUUCUUUCCCUAGCUGAGGUUAAUUAAGCUCUCCUGAAUAAUUCUCUGCAGUCUGUUCACGUAAUAUGUACUAAGGAUUCACAAGGAAAAGAUGAAGCAAAAAAGUAAUAUUUGAUGGGAACACAAAGUUUUGACACAUUCCAUAAACCUAUGACAAUUCUGCUCUCUGCAGUGCUUGUGCCUGAGGUAGUGGCUGCUCUCAGGGAUGUACCUGUGACCUGCUCUGGCCAUUUUCUCCUGCUCUCACUCUGGCUUAAACAUCCCCAAUUUCACCGUCCCCCCUCUGAAGGGGGGGAGUGACUUUCUCUGGCUGGGCUUGAAAAAAAAAAAAAAAUUCUCAUUUGUGACCAUCAUAAGGAAACUGAGGCUGAACUUUUAUUGGAAAACCUGAAAAUCUGAAGUUGGGAUGUGGCUCCCACGAUGAAUUAUACACCUAACCCCAAAUUACUGCAGUGGAUAGAGAUAUCUGUAGGAAGGAUUGCACCUGUAAAUCAGACUGUUCAAUAACUCUGUCCUGGUUUUGGCAGGGAUAGAGUUAAUUUUCUUCCUAGCAGCUGCUUAGUGCUGUGCUUUGUAUUUAGGAUGAGAAUAAUGUCGAUAACACACCAAUGUUUUAAUUGUUGCCAAGCAGCCAAGGACUUUUCAGCUUCUCAUCCUGCCCUGCCAACGAGAAGGUGGGGGUGCCCAAGGAGCUGGGAGAGGACACAGCCAGGACAGCUGACCCCAACUGCCCAAAGGGAUAUUCCAUACCAUAUGUUGUGAUGCUCCGUAUAUAACUGGGGCUGGGCUGGAAGGCAGUUUGGCUCGAGAACUAGCUGAGCAUCAGCUUCAAGUGGUGAACAAUUGUACCGUGCAUCACUUGUUUUGUAUAUUCUUUUAUCAUUAUUAUUAUUCUCUUCCUUUUCUGUACUAUUAAACUGUCUUCAUCUCAACCCACGAGUUUCACCUUUUUUUUAAAUUUUUGAUUCUCUCCCCAUCCCACUGGGGGGAGCGAGCAAAGGGCUGCAUGGUUAUUUUUGCUGCUGGCAGGGUUAAACCAUGACAAACUCUUACUGUUAAAUCAACUUCUACUUGUCUUUAGUACUGCUUUCUCCUCCUGCUUUCUAACUUUAAUCAAUCCCUUCUUUUCUGCCACGAGUACCCCAGGCCAUCGCUAUGCGUGCCAGGAGCUGCCUUUGCAUGCUGUGAUCGUGCAAGACCCUGUAAGAGUCAAACCCUCCCGUGAUGCUGCAGAGGAAAUACAGUGUUAAUCACAAGGAGGGCAACCUGCCUGUGCAGUCGACUGCUAGUGCAAAAUAGCAUCAGAAUUAAAAGCUAUUCAACAGUUUCAGCAGCACAAAGCACGUAAGGAGGAAAAUUUCCCCUCCAUCAGAGGCCACAGCUGAGCAUUGAGAGGAUCUGACCUGGUGUGUGUCCCAGGGAGUUUGUUCCUGUUAGCUUUGUGUGCAGCCGUCUUCAGGCAUUUCGGAACCUCCUCCUAUUUAUUCCUCAGGGGGUGGUGUGCAGGAAUGGAUGGGGAGGUCUUAAGCAAGGAUUAUGAUUUUAGAAUGGCACAUUUUUUUCAAGUGCUAUGGUUUACUCUAUGCUAGGUCACACUCUCCUUCUCACGCAUAAAACAAAUAAUCUGUAAAACACCAGUGGAGAAAGAGCCAUUUCCAGCCAUGAGUCAUUAGAUCCCUCUUAUGAGCUGACAAUAUAAAAGAUGCCAACCACAGAGUAAUCCGUUACAAGUUUCUCAUUGCACAUGUAGGUUAUUGGUCCUCCUGGUUAUCAAAAUCCCACGUAAUCCAAUGGCAAAGUAGUUUCAAAAUGACUUGGGCAGGAAUUAUGCACUCUGAGCGCACGGCUGCAGUCAGGUCUGAGCGCAGCUCCCGAGGCUGGCAGGGACUGGCUGCGCGCCUUCGGGUGAAACGCAAUUCCUCCCUCAGUCCUUCCCCGUCUCUGUAAUGGGAUAAUGAUAUUUACUUAUUUUACAGGGCAACUGGAAGCUGUAAGUAAGUAAUCUGUGAAAGACACACCGAAAGCCUUUGAUGGCGGAUCUUUAACAGCUCAAAGCCUUGUAAGAAUAGCUUAGCGUCGCACACGCUCGGGGACUGGGAGUUGGCAGAGCAAGGGCAGGCAGAGAGGAGGCUCUGCAGGCGGCAGAUGCAGCCCAUGGGUGGCGGAGGUGGCAUGGCACAGAUCCCUCCGUCCCUCUGUGAGGCAAAGGGCGGCCUGAGUAACAUGCAACAGGGUGGCUCUUCCGCUGGGGAUUGUCACUCCGUCCCCACCACAGCUUUACAGAUCAUCCCAGUAGAGGUCUUCUGAGGUAUUUUCCUCUCAGCGUGGGUUAGAGCAUAAAGUCGCAGGAGGGGUUUCUCCCCUCGCUCCUCCCUACCCGAGACCACGGCUUGAAGUGAGGAGUGUCGCCGGUGAAGCAACAGCCCUCGCAAGCGCUGAUGGGGCUGGAAGGCCGAGAGCAUUACACUGCGUACACCCAAGCAAAGCAAAGCCAGGGCUUGCCUGAAACGACUAACAUCUGAAACCUAACACAGACAAGGCAGCAAGGCAGCAGCGUGCUCAGCAUGAAAAGCAGCAAUCCCUGAGACUAUUUUUGCCCAGAAGAUGAUGUGUUCUUCGGGUAUCAAAGCAGAAGGGGGAUCCAAGGAUGAGGCUGAAGAGACACCCACCUACAGGCGAGCUCUACAACUUGGGGAAUAGUUGAUGUUGAAACAGUUGAUGAAUAGUGAUUAGUUUAUGCUGAAAUUGGGAAAAGACUAAACCAGGGUCCACAAUAACUGCACCCAAACACCAACCCACGAUUUAGAAAAGGCAGAGGUUUGGAAAAGGCUGAGUUGUCUUUUACACUAAGGUGGGUCUCAGACUCUGAUGAUUUCUAGUUGACCUGGGCAGUGACUGCAGUGCAGAAUGGAAGAAACAGAGGGAGCGAGCAGAGAAUUUCAAUUUACUCCUGAAAUUUGUCCUGAUUUUCCUGCCUGCCUGCUCUCUGUCUUCACUCUGCCCAACCUGCCGUGAGCAAUGAGAGCAUGGCAUGCUGCCACUUUGCCAUGUCUUUGGGUAUCUUUAGUCGUAAGGGCUUUCAACGUUCUUUGGCUUUUUUAAAAAAGAUUCAGAGCCUACAUUUUUAAAAUCUAAUUUACCUUAAAGCGACCCUUUGAAGAAAGCAGCCCAGCCUACUUUUCAUGAACACCAAAGACACAGUUUUCUGUAGCAUUUGUUCAUUUAACUUAACCCUACCGCGGGCUGAUUUUUAAGAUGGGACAGUUACGCGCCAUUCACAUCGACCUCCCUGGAGCCCGAGUGCAUUGCAGAACUGGGCCUCUCUUCUGUCCAAAUGAGACCCUAAAACUCAAUGAACCCUUUUUGAAUGUUUUUGUCCUAAACAUUCUUGAUAUGAGAAAAUAAAUCUACGCCCUGUUAAGUGGUUGGAUGCUAGCUGACUGCGAGCUUUGCUAUCAGCCUGUCGGACACAGCAGUUUGGGCUGAGCCAGCCUUCAGGAGGGGGGAAAUGGGGUCUGCACAGCGCAACCUGAAAAUGCAAUGAGGGACGGAUCGUGUUAGGAACAGGGGCAUGUAACAUCACCUCCGCGACGCAACCUCAGCCACUCCCUUCCUACUGCAAACUUCCUAGGAUGGGCACAACUGUUUGUUACAAGUUUCCCUGGGGGCUGCCACGGGAAGAGGGGAGCCGAAAUCUCUGCAAUACCAGUUUACAUAACUCCUCCUUGCACAAGGACAGCUGUGCUGGGGAGGUCGGCAGAUUCCUGCCAAAUUAUUCAGCAGUGUCUGUCUCCUGAGUUUGGAAAGAGAUGUUUGAUUCAUCUUUACCAGCUCCAUGAAGCUGCAGUGUGGGAUCCGAGCGGGGGAGGACUGGAACUGAAAGCAUUUAUGUGGAAAUGCUAUUUUCAUUCAAUGUAUUUAGCGGAACAUCAGUGGCAUUUUGAUGCCUUGUUCCACCUCAAGCCCAGUAACGUUGGCUGCAAAGCAGCGAGCCGAGGGCGAGUGCGUUUCCAAAGAACUAAUAACAGGAAGAGAUGGGAAACCCUUCUGCAGACAUGUCACUUGGCUUUUCUGGUCUCUCCAGUUUGCUCCCAGGGGCUUAACAUUGUACUGCUGAAAGGCCACAGCAGGAGGAGGGUUAGAUUUUCAGCUCCAGAGGUUUUGCUUGUGGGCCAAAUUUACACCCACUGCAAUUACAGGAGCAAUAAAUUAGGCACAGAGUAUAUUGUAUAGCAUCUUGCAUAUCUGCAUGGCUAUAUGAGUAGGCUAAACCUGUUCCCUAUCCAGAAAAGAAACCACAGCCUGUGAAGGACUCUAAAUUCAGCCCUUUCUGGAUUUUAACAUUGAAUUAGCAAGUAACAACCUAAAGCCUUCCCCUGUCCUCCUCCAGCUGGCUCCUCUGGCUGACCCCGACGUUUUUCUCCCUACGCCUCCUGCGUCCCAGCGACCUCUCUCUGGAGUCGGCUCUUCCCUCUCUGCUGUCGCACAGCGAGCAGCGCAGAGGCAGCACCUGCCUCCCCGAGUCAGCAGAACGGCAGUGGGUGCCUGCAGGUCGCUGCGCCGGUCAGUCCAGCCCGUUUGCAUGAGUCCUCCUGCAAAACUGCGCUCAGGGCAUAUAAUUGGCACAUGCACAUCCCUGCAAAAGGGUCACCGAACAAACGCAUUCAGGGCUAUUUUGACUAUUAAAAGGAAUGUUUUCUUUUCUUGAAUAUGCCAUAUCUGAAAGCUAAAGUACUUUUUCAUAAGUAUUUUUAAUAUAUAUCCUGUCAAUUGCUGGAAUUCAUCCUUCGCGUUCAGCUAUCUGCUAACCAAGGAGACAGGAGGAUCAAACUUCCUUGCCGUGCUCCACGGUCUGACAGAGACAGAGAAACCUCUUGUCUGCAGACAGCACCAACUGAUCGGCUGGGCAUGAACGCAGGGCUACAUCAGUGGGGCUGUGGAAACACUGUUCUCCAAAAAACUUCAUGUUAUACUUUGCUUUGGGGCUGUGACCAAGCCAGUGUGUUUUCUUUGGUCUUCUUCGUGCUCAUCUUAUGCUAUCUCACUGGCUCAAACCGCAGCACGCCUUGCCUGUCGGGGCAGCACACCACCGAGUCUCUACCGAGCUGCUGGCUGAAAACGGUGAAACAGAGCCUGACCCGUUUUCUCACCCUGCUGCAGGCUGGACCCAGGCCUGACCCAAAACACGGCAUUUCAUGGAGGUCUGAGGUAACGGGAAGAAAAGAGAAGGCGUGGGAGGUGCUGCAAAAGUCAAACAGUGUUCCUUGUGGGUCAAAAAACCACUUGAAGUAAUAAGAAUUGUCCCAGUGCUGCUCUGUGUUUGCAAACAAGAUUUUUGGCUAGCCCUGUGAGACCUAUUUAGCCUGUAAUAAAAGCGGGGCCGUUGUUUUGGUGCAAAGAUUACCUCAAUGUUUUUAACAGAAGCGAUACGGGAACUAGACCUUCUUACACUAAAAGGGCUCAGAAAUGUCUCUUUUAUCUUCCCAUUUGGAAACUUGAACUGCAAUGGAGUUUGACAGGGUUAUUUUAUUUACUCUAUCUCCUACAGCACAGCUAUUUCUGGCUGACUGUCUGGCUAUUGCUAUUAAACUGGUCUCAUUUCGCUUCUCAUCCAACCUGCUUUGCUCUGAGAGCUCAAGGGAAGACAGCAAUAGCAAUAAACCACAAGCUGGAGUUCGCAUUGCCUCUUGAUUACGAGAGACACAUAAAAAGUGCAAAUGAAAACUAAAUGUGUUUCAUGCAGUCACUGAUCUUUCUGCACUGUCAGAAAACACUAAACACAGAGCCCCAUCAAGGACUGUUCCACUAUUGGUGAAAGAAAAGCAUAAUUUGCUGCAGAAACUCUGUUAACCCUUCAUACUUCAUACUGGCAUUUCCAGCCUAAUGCCACGGCGCUCUCGAGCCCGUUGGGGAAAUCCAAACUGUUACCCAGAACAGAAAAAAGAAGAUCCUCAUCUAUUACAUGAUAAGCACCUCGAGCAUCCCCCAACAUAACAAGCUAUGAUCAUAAUUAAUGCUGUGUGUCACAGUCCUGGAUGUUAAGUAUUAUGAUUUGCAAAUUUAAAGCAUCUCUGUGUCAAACUCUCUCAACUUCAGGGUGAUAAGAAAAGUAGACCCUGUGCCUUUAAGGCAACAUCUUUUAAUGCUACCAUCAUCAAAGAUUGACUUCAUUUCUUGGUAAUUACAGUUAGCAUACUGGAAUAUGUAUUCUUCUUUCCUGAUUAUAGACAUAUGGUAAGUCAAACUGAGGGCAGUGCUUGCUUCCUACACAGUUUAUUCCCUUCUUCCUUUCCAAAAGGCAUUUUUGCAUUAGGGUAACCAACCAACCGUCUCUUCUGAAGAAAGCACCGCUUUGUCCUCGUGCACACUGCAAUGUCCCAACCUCUGGUUCAGGAAACACAGGCAGAGAAUUCAGUAGGAGAGUCUGACAUUAAUCCAAAAGCUGAAAGUUAUCCAGCUUUGCAAAGAACAUCUAAAAUCAUGAGCUCUCUCAGUGGCUCAUUCUCAGGAACUGUAGACAUCCAAACUAACUCAGUGCUCCCCUUUUGACACAGGUUCUGGAAAUGUUCUGCAGUACCUACCUACAUCCACUGGUAUUUCAGUAUUCAGUCGAUCGAACACCGAAAUGGUUGACGUGGCCAUUUCAUCUGAUUAAACUUCUCACUUCCUAGCACCAGAAAAUGAUUCAGUGGUGAUAUUAGGAAGUGACCAGUGCUGUCUCUGAUGGCAAAAUCUAAGCCAAAGAGAUUUAUUUGUAAAGCUCAGAAACCAAUUUUAUUUGUGAAAAUCUUCCCUCACAAGUUGCUUUGCAAGAUGUUUGCCAGAAAUGAAAGCUGGCUGCCAUGGUGUCAGCUUCUCCACCUGCUGCUAGUGCUCUUAUUCAUGCAGCUCUCGUAAAUCUUAGUGCAAGUUUCCUGCUUGGAAGAAAGACUUAAAUGUACCCAUACUGGCAGAGAGAACAUCUGUCAAGUGCAUUUGAAUGCAGCCGUUUAUAAUUACUCAUUUUCACAAACUAGGUCUCUUUCUCAAGUCCCGUCAGUUAUCCAAGACGUGGUGGUCACGGAAAUGCAUUCAGGAUUUCUCAGUCUGAGGCAGUGGAACAUACACCAGCAACCAGGGAAGGCUCUGAGCCUUGUCCCUGGACUGACCAUUGCCAUCACCCCUUUCCUGAACUAUAUUAAUGACUAGUUCAUUAUAGUCAUAUAAGGCCUGGCAUUACUGAUGAUCUUCUGCAGGCAUAUCAAGCAGGGGAACAACUAGGCGAUGAUCUCAAGAAGAAUAACCCUGAGAGUCAUCCUCCCUCACAGAAAUGUCUUGGCCACAUGUCCAACAAAAAAAAAGGCCCCAUAACCUUGAAACAUUUUCAAGUAUCAACAGAAAGGGAUGGCAAAGCUUCUGGAAAGUAGGCCAUAUUCACAGCAGACCAGGGUUUAUUUGGAAAUAUAUUAACUGCUGCUGAAAGCAGAUAGCUGGAUACUAGAAAUACUGCCAUAGCCAAUAGACCUUAUUCCUUGGGCACGGGCAACGCUGGCUGGUUCAGUAGGAAAAAGGAACACAGUAGUUCUUGGUAGCAUGCAAUAGGAGUCCUGCCGAAAUCUUCCUAGGCCAUCUGGCUGUAUAGCUGUGGAACAAAUGUGAUCCAACAUAUGAAAAGAAAGAUGUUUUCUGAGACUGUGGCUUGUGCCUUUAGAGCCCCACAAAGGACACAGAGCCAUUGAACCGGAGUACUCCUCAUUGUUUACUAGCUGAUAGCAAAACUGCUAUGAAGAAACCCAAACUUACCUGGGGUGGGAUGACAUGUUACUUUGUACACAGCACUCACCUUAAAUAAUGGAUACAAAAUGAGCUGUUACCUUGGCUAUAGAUAGAAUUUUUUAAUACUCCGCCUGGGUUCAGCGGCAAUGCAGCCUGCCCAAAGGAUCAGCGGCUUGCAAUGCAGACACAGACAAGGGUUGUGGGCAUGAAUGUAGCAGGGCGCUCUCUUGGGACUGACAGAGCCAGCAGAUCGGCUGGCCAGAAGCAGAAUGCUGCUGAAAUUUUUGCAGCAAAAGAAAAACUGGCUUUCACCAGCACUUUUCCGGAUAUUGCAGGAAUUCAUAUACCAUCUUCCUGGACCUAACAUGCAUCUACUGGUACCAGCGAAUGCCACUAACACCUCACUUUAGCCUACCGGGGUGAAGCUGAUACCAGCAAGUUUUACCACACAGAAAUGAUUUCAUCUUCCAGUGCACGAACUAGUGAACAGGAAUCUGACGGUCUGCAACGUGAGCCCACUGUGUAACAAGUUUUGCAGACAAUGGCGUUCAAAGGGGAUGACAGAGAACACCAACAUCCAUGACUGUCACAGAGCUUAUGUUACCAAACUCUAUCUGUUCCAUCAGAAACUCAUCUAUCAGUAUCUGUCAAACCACAGAAUCCGUACGCAUUACUAGGGGAUUCGAGAACACAUAGCUGUUGCAGCUGCAAACAUCUGCCAGGGUGGCAACGGGAAACGAAGGUGAGGAUGACAUGCAGAUAACUGCAGUGAAGAUCUGGAGGAGUGGGAGAUCUUGUUUGAAAUACAUGUUUGGCUUCUAGAGCCUCUCAGCAUAUCUACCAUGCUUUCAUCAAACUAAAGUAUCUGUGAUAUAUUUAAAUAAGGAAUUGGUUUUAGUUCCUAUUUGUAUUAAAAGUCUCUUUUAACCAAUAAAGAGGUAAAAUUCAACCAUUAUAAUUCAAAAAUAAAGGUAUUCUCAAAUAGACCGUGUCACGAUUAAGGAUGCAUCAUACCUACUAAUUUAUUAUAUCUGAAGAAAACCCACAUAUACAGAAGAUUUCCUGAAGAGGAAGAUUCGCUGAGAUGUGCCAUCGUAAGUGGUACCAAAGCUGAAAAUUUUGAUCAGGGUCACUGACUAAACAAACCUCAUGCAAAACACGGUCAGGUUGUCCAUGGAUUUUCUCAUUGCCUGUGUCUGCAGUAAGAGGGGUGCUGUUCCAUCUGCUGCUUUGGAAACCUCUAAAGGGCUUAAUUCUCCCUGUGCACAAGGCAGAGGAGCUGGCAGCCCUGCACCAGUCUGAACUCUGAGACCUUCUGGAAAUCUCAAACUUUCCCUUCUGGACUCAGACAACUCCAAUUCCCUAAGGGUUUGUUCAAGUGGGACGUGAAAGCAUACUGCAAGCUGGUGCCACUCUCAAGUGCUUUAAUUCCCAUGACUGGCACCAGACUCUGCUGCAGAUGACCCCAGCACCCCCGCACCAGCAUCCCUGCUCUUGGGGAUAUGUGGGUCAUAUUUCAUCUCCUUCAGAGAAUAAUUUUAAAGCACAGGGUAAAGGCAGCUGGCCCCAGCUUCCCACACCUUGAUAUAAAUGGUGCUACACUAAGAAAGCCCCAGGAUAUAGCGCUCUGGCUUUAAUGUGGCCAGCAGGACCAGGGCAGUGACCGUGCCCCUGUGCUCGGCUCUGGUGAGGCCACACCUCGAGUGCUGGGUUCAGUUUUGGGCCCCUCACUGCCAGAAGGACGCUGAGGUGCUGGAGCGUGUCCAGAGAAGGGCAACGAAGUGGUGAGGGGUCUGGAACGCAAGUCUGGUGGGAGCGGCUGAGGGAACUGGGGGUGUUCAGCCUGGAGAAGAGGAGGCUGAGGGGAGACCUGAGCGCGCUCUACAACUCCCUGACAGGAGGGUGUGGCCAGGUGGGGUUGGUCUCUUCUCCCAAGGAACAAGCGAUUAAAUGGCCUCAAGUUGUGCCAGGGGAGGUUUAGAUUGGCUAUUACGAAAAAUUCCUUCACUUGCAAGGGUUAUCAAGCCCUGGAACAGGCUGCCCAGGGAAGCGGUGGAGUCACCAUCCCUGGAGGGAUUUAAAAGACAUGUCGAUGUGGUGUUUAGGGACAUGGUUUAGUGGUGGACUUGGCAGAGUUAGGUUAACGGUUGGACUUGAUGAUCUUAAAAGGUCUUUUCCAACCUAAACAAUUCUAUGAUUCUGUUCUAUGAUAGAGCAGAGGUUAUCCUGCUAGAUGGUUGCCUGUUGGGAUCUAUAACAGCAAAGCCUGACACAGGGGUCAAGACAACACAGGCUAUAAACCAUUCAGAUUUAUUUUAUCUAGGAUGCGUGAUCCCAAAAUGUGAGCUCACGCUCCUCUGAAUUCCAUAGUCAGACAAUCUUUCUUAACAGUGUUCAAGGAAAAAAAUAUCGAGAUGGGAGAGUCCAGCUGUAACCCUGUCUCUGCUCCUACCCCAACACUCUGAAGAGUAACAACUGUAGUUUGCUGCUGGAAAAAGAGAUGCAAAAGGAGAACCAACAACAAGGUAUGAACCCUGUCCCCAUGAUAUCGGGCUCACCAGAUGAAUUAGCACCCUCUGCCCUGUCACCUUAAAGCUCAGUGAGGACACUGUCCCACAAGAUGUCGGCUAGUGGCAGGACAGCCUGCCAGUCUCUCUGCCAGGAAGACCCAGACCACCACACUGUCUCCGAGAGAGCUAAAAUCUGCAGGGUGUUUUCCCAUGGAGGCAUCUCUUGUGCAGCACUGCCACGCACACCCCCCAAAAUGCCUCUUGAAUACAUAAGGGAAGAGGACAGUGUCACACGAACACUGUUUGCAUACUGAUACAACCUUUCGAGCCCCCAGCAGCCUGCUGUGAAUUGCUGAGCACUCUCUGCUCAUACUGAUGACCACGGAAAUCCCGGCUCUGAUUUUCCCAGGAGUUAAGGGAGCGCUCGAUACCUCUCUGGAUCAGACCCAACGGAAGCCAAACUGGAUGCUGCCUUAUGAAUCGAGCCAGGAAAGAAGUAAAAGGCACAGCAACGAGGAGGCGAAAAAUAAGCACAAACAUUCCAGAAGGCAAAAUUUCAGUCAACCAUGACUCAAGAGAAGAAAGUGCCACCCACUGAACUGCACAGGCCACAGCUCCGCAUACCGUGGCAGCGGGCAGUGAUGUCGCGGAUUCAUGAGCAGAUGGCCUUGAAAACACAGCGUGCGCUCGCUCUCCCACUCUCCGAGAGAACAAAUGCAGUCACCCUCCACUAAUUGGGAUGAGCUGGACUUUUUAAAAAGUUAAUUAAAAUCUAUUUAUUAAAAAUGC